UACGGAGGGUGCAAGCGUUAUCCGGAUUUACUGGGUUUAAAGGGUGUGUAGGCGGGCUUUUAAGUCAGUGGUGAAAUCUCCGGGCUCAACCUGGAAACUGCCAUUGAUACUAUUAGUCUUGAAUUUUGUUGAGGUAGGCGGAAUAAGUCAUGUAGCGGUGAAAUGCAUAGAUAUGACUUAGAACACCAAUUGCGAAGGCAGCUUACUAAGCAAACAUUGACGCUGAGGCACGAAAGCGUGGGGAUCAAACAGG
rnacentral:rRNA from 1 species